UGGGCAACCUGCCCUCAGCACUGGGAUAAACCCCGGGAAACCGGAGCUAAUUACCAGAUACGACCUCGGCGGACAUCCGCUGUGGUGGAAAGCGUUAGUGGCUGAGGAUGGGCCCGCGGCCUAUCAGCUUGUUGGUGGGGUAAUGGCCUACCAAGACGACGACGGGUAGCCGGCCUGAGAGGGCGACCGGCCACACUGGGACUGAGACACGGCCCAGACCUCCGUACGGGAGGCA
rnacentral:rRNA from 1 species